rnacentral:lncRNA from 1 species
GGCUCCCGAGGACGCCUGGAAGUGGGGCAGCACAGACAGAACUUGCCGGUUCUCUGUGUGGUGAGGCGUAGGAGAAGGAGAUUUUUCGGAUCCCGGAGUGUGGUGUCCAGCCCGCUCUUGGUUCCCAGAAGAGCCCCAGUCUGUUACCACGUCCACCCUUCACGCAAAAAUAGGACAGUGGUCUGGGUUCAGAAAAGCCAAAGCUCUGCCCAGCCGGGUGUGGCCCGUGCUGCCCAGAGCUGGGGGCGUCUGCCGCCUCCCCCCUGCACCCGGGGUGCCCCAGCUCUCCCCGCGGCCCGCCUCCAUCCCAACGGUUAUGAUCCAGACGGACCCGGAGAGAAGGGCCGCCCUGGCCUGGAUCACACUGUGCCGAGCCUGGCAUCCCCGGGCACCCAGAGCUCACCCCUAGACGCAGACAUGCUCAUGGGUGCCCCCGGCUACACCCCACGGCAGCCCAGCUUCCGGAGGCAGGCCGGCCUUCUCGGACUCAGCACUCUGUGA